rnacentral:misc_RNA from 1 species
UGGUGGUCCUUUGAUUCUAACAUUCGCAAAAGAUCGCUGCUGUAACGGGAUGCGAAUGUUAGAAUCGGAUCACUAGAUGCCGACCAAGCCGCCACCUUCGGAUACCGACGAGCCAGCGUCGGGCCAGCCGCUUGACGACGNNCGCCUUGCCGCCGCGGCUCAGGCCGACAUGCCUGCGCCCCCGGAGCCGGACGACAACGACGAUGACGACGACGAGGAUCUCGUCGCCUUUACCGCGAGUGAAGCCGCGGGCGCGUUCGCAACGCUGUGGC